UACGUAGGGCGCAAGCGUUAUCCGGAAUUAUUGGGCGUAAAGAGCUCGUAGGCGGUUUGUCGCGUCUGCCGUGAAAGUCCGGGGCUCAACUCCGGAUCUGCGGUGGGUACGGGCAGACUAGAGUGAUGUAGGGGGAGACUGGAAUUCCUGGUGUAGCGGUGAAAUGCGCAGAUAUCAGGAGGAACACCGGUGGCGAAGGCGGGUCUCUGGGCAGUAACUGACGCUGGAGGAGCGAAAGCGUGGGGAGCGAACAGG
rnacentral:rRNA from 1 species